rnacentral:lncRNA from 1 species
GAGAGAUUGAGAUUCUGUCUUACUUAGCUUUCUACCUACAACUUAACCAAUUAGGUGAGGGUCACCACACAAUUAGGAAGUGCAGUCUGACAACUCCACCUAAUCAGCAUGUUAACCUCUUCCAGAAACACCUUCAGAGACCCACCCAGAAUGAUGGUUAGCCAAAUGCCAGGGUACUCUGUGGCCCAGGCAAGUCUAUCUGCACACCUAUCCCUCACAGCAGCUAUGGCUGUACUUCCUGAAGUGCUGCUGUGACUCACAUGAAAUCAGAAUUUAUGCAGAACUGCAUCCCAUUGCUUCAUGUGAUGAAUGGCAAAGUAAGAGUGAUUGUAAAAAUAACUAUUCUCAGUCAGGGGCUUGGAGACUUUAGCUGGGUCUGCUUGUUUGCAGUUCUUCAGUUACCCCAGGCAGGGUAUCGACUGAGCCAGUGGUCCCUGACCUGGUUACAUAGCAAACUCUUGAGCAUCCUUAGACCAGAACCAUGGGGUCCUCAUGACAGAGGUGCAAAAUCGGAAUUUUCAGGGGAUGGAAAGGCGCUCAUUGAAGAUAAAUCCAGGAACAUCACCUCUCAGCUUCCAGGAGGGGAAGUCUUGUGUCCUGAUCAGUCUAAUCUAUGCCAAGAGCUGAGGCCUCAUUGCAUGAUUAACACUAGCCCCUAAGUCCAGGGUAUACUGUUUUAUGGAGAAGGCUGUGCACAGGUUAACACAGAGGAUAGUUUCUAGAAGGCUUAGAGACAUGGUGGGGUUAGCACAGAGAAUCUUCUUACUAAGACUCCUUAGAGACUACUAGAGCUAUUGCAUCCAAAUGCCAUCGCUGCCUUUUAUUCUAAUGACACUUUUCUUCUAGAAUGUUCCAUUCCUCCUUUCCUUUAACCCGCUCUCCUCCUUCUGUCCCUCCUUUCUUUCCAGGUUUUGUAAAUUUGUUAGGCUCCUGCAGCUGCUGUCCAAUGGAGACCCGUACGAUGGGAGAAAGCUUUCCCCUAAGCAUUUGGCAAUAGGCCGAAUCCAAGUCUCCAUCAGACCUUGCUCUAGACCCAGGCUUCUCCCCUCAGGCUUUGAUCUCUGAUCACUGCCUGUGACUCUGUAAACCUAAGAAUGCCUGUGACUCUGUUGGCCUAAGGUUAUGGAUCUCAAAGAAGGACCAACUCUAAACUUGAAUCCUAUUUAGUUGAUAGUUCUGCCCUAAGUACAGGACAGAGGGUAGGAAACCACAGCAUGGUAAUUGUGUUGUUUAGGGAUGUUGUUGUUGUUGUUGUUAUUUAGGUGACUGAUUUUUCAACUGUGUAACUUACCUGGGAGUGGUUUUGAGAAAACAGAUUUCUCAUUCUUUCUUUCCGCCUAGGAAGCAAGCAAAUAACUCACAGUCCAAUGCCUUUGGAAACAGAUAUGGGGUCUUCAUGGAUGUUGGAGGUAUUUGUGUAGAACAUUCAGAAUCUACCAGCCCACUGGAAUGGGCUUGGAGUAGAACCAUGGUGGGAAAGCAAAGGAGUAAGAAGCAGGUGCUGUAUCUCCAGAGAGUGGGGUGAUAUCCAGAGACUGCUGGUAUGGCAUACAGAGGCAGACUCAUGGUCGCAAAGGGAGUUUAAGGGCUGCUGCUGGUGUUGUCUGCCCUCGUUCUCUCUAGCCAUUUAUUCUGGAAAUCCUGGUCCUUGGGAGACUUGCUUGUCAGGUUGUUACUAUUUAGUAGCUUUCAAUAAGAUACUGGCAUCGUUAAAAGCCAAAUAGUGGUGCUGGCAACUACAGCUUGUUUAUAGAAAUGAAGGCAGCUUGACUUGUUAUAAAAUAAGGUAUACUGCGUGAACAGGGGUUCACAUUCAUAUAUGUUAUUGCUUUUCUGUUCUGACCAAUGUUGUGGCUGCUGCUGUUGCUUUUAAGUGUGGAGAACUUCUGCUAGUCUUGUAGAAGUACAGUUAUGAGCCUCGCUGUAUAUUAAGGACCUAUUCUGAGAACUGUUUCAUGGACAGAUAUCAUUUUGGUACAAGCAUCUUGCAGUGUAAGAACACCCUUACAUAAACUCAGGUAGCACAAAUCAGUCACUUGACAUGGCCUCCUUUUCACCCCUUCCAUAGUCUCCUAUCUAGUUUUAUGGAAUAUACCCACUCUCACAACUCCUGGAUUAUAUGCAUAUAAAUAUAUGAACAUCCACAUAUGUAUGGGAGAGAGAGGGGGGAGAGAGAGGGGAGAGAGGGGGAGAGAGGGGGGAGAGAGAGAGCAGUGUUCUCUCUUUCUGGGAUUGAGUCACUUAUCUUAAUAGAAUACUUUCCAGUUCCACCUAUUUUCCUUAAAAUUUCACAACUUCAUUUUGCUUAGUAGCUCAAUAAAAGUCCACGGUGUGUUCAAAUUUUCUAAAUGAAAAUGUGUUUGGAAGGCCAUGUGUUUGGAAGUUCUCUAAUGUAGGGUUCAAGGCAGGGGGACACUGAGAUAGAUUGCUGGGGAUCAGAAGUUUAUUAGAAGGUAUUAAGGCCUUGCAAAGACAGACAGUGAUGUGAUUCUGAGGAGCGCUCAUCCAGCGUCAGGAGCAGAGCAUGGCAGGGGCUCUGCAGUCAAAUUUGUACCCAUGUGGCAGAGUUGGGUCUUUGAAAUUCUUGAGAUUGGGGCACUCACAGCAGGAGCCUGCAAUGGGCUCUCCAGUUCCCGAGAAGGCAGCAGAGAUGUGUGGCCACCAGCACUACUUUGUUGUGCCUUCAUGUGUCUCUUGAUUAGGUGCUAAAAAAUAAGCUGCAUGAGGCUACUGCUGGGUAAUGUGGCACAGUGCUUUACAGUCCUUUUCAUUUUUUUAUAGGUGUAAAGAGUACAUAGUAAAAUAAUACAAGCCAUAGAAUACUUAAUGCAUAAAACCAGUAACAUAGUCAUUCAAGGUCUAUCAUAAUUGAAUGUGUACAUGUUAUCCAGCUGGUGACACAGUAUGUGUGUUUUCACAAGCAGUGUGCUCUGGUGCUAGGAAUUUUUAAGCUCUGCUUUUCCAAACAGGGUCUCACUAUGUAGCCCACACUCACCUUGAGCUCAUUAUGGAGCCCAACCUAUGUGCAUCUGUAUGUGAAUCUCUGUGCAUUUAUGUCCAUGACUAUGUUGUUAUAUUCAUGUAUGUGUACCUGUAUAUGGAUCUGUAUAUGUUUAUGUGCAUGUCCAUUUUUCUGUGUGUCUAUGUCUGUGUGGUUCUUUUCUGCUUCCCAUUCCAAGUCCUUUAUUUAAACAUGACAUGGGGACCAUCAGGCCAGGUUCGUGGUGGUCACUCUAGACUCCCAAUGCAGAGAGAAUAGUUUGUUCUCCUGAAGGUGAUGGGAAGAAGUUUCCCAGACCUCCACUUACAGACUUUUCCACUGGGUGGAUUUUUCCUUUCUUGUGAAUAUCAGCAUGAAAGAUCCAAGAACAAGCAGUACAGAUACUUGAUUUCAAGUUUCUUGUCACCUUGAGGGGUGAAAGAAGGAUUACCCUUGUGAAAGUAAUCAAACAAGACUCACUACCUUGGCAUGAGAUUGUUGGAUGUCUGGCCCUCAAGGGUGAGCCUCAUUACUUGUCCUUGACCUUUGAAUUGGCUCUUUGGGAUCCAGUCAGACUGCAGUCCUUGAACAUCAAAGUGCAUGGCAACAUGGUACCAUGGGGCCUUUCAUAUUCCUGCCUUUGAUUCCACAGGAUGAGAUCCAAAGGCUCUUCUGCUUGUACAACCACCACAGUGAGUGUGUCAAGGACAGUAUGGUGUGGGUGGUAUGUAAGGGGUCGAGUGUAGGUAAACAAUAAAAAGGACUUGGUAACGUUGGUGUCUGUAAAAUCUUAUUGAGAACACAAACCAGAAUCUCUGAGGGAUGUGAGGAUACCUUGGUCCAGGCUCAAUUUGUGUGACUUGAAUCCUCAAAGUUGCAGAACUUUUCUAGGCAGAAUGAAAGGGCCAGGUUAGCACGUAGGGGAGAUCCCAGCUACCAGGAUGGUAUGGUUCUUGCUGUUACCUGGUGACAUUUCCACCACUGUCCAUCUUCCCAGCAAACUCUUCCCAAGACGCUACAUUCUUCAUAAG